rnacentral:rRNA from 1 species
UACGUAGGGACCAAGCGUUGUUCGGAUUUACUGGGCGUAAAGGGCGCGUAGGCGGCAAUUCAAGUCAUCUGUGAAAUCUCCGGGCUUAACUCGGAACGGUCAGAUGAUACUGCUUUGCUAGAGUACAGAAGGGCAAUCGGAAUUCUUGGUGUAGCGGUGAAAUGCGUAGAUAUCAAGAGGAACACCUGAGGUGAAGACGGGUUGCUGGGCUGAUACUGACGCUGAGGCGCGAAAGCUAGGGUAGCAAACGGG